rnacentral:rRNA from 1 species
CGCUGACGAGCGGCGGACGGGUGAGUAAUGCAUAGGAAUCUGCCCGAUAGUGGGGGAUAACCUGGGGAAACCCAGGCUAAUACCGCAUACGUCCUACGGGAGAAAGGGGGCUUCGGCUCCCGCUAUCGGAUGAGCCUAUGUCGGAUUAGCUAGUUGGUGAGGUAAAGGCUCACCAAGGCGACGAUCCGUAGCUGGUCUGAGAGGAUGAUCAGCCACAUCGGGACUGAGACACGGCCCGAACUCCUACGGGAGGCAGCAGUGGGGAAUAUUGGACAAUGGGGGGAACCCUGAUCCAGCCAUGCCGCGUGUGUGAAGAAGGCCCUCGGGUUGUAAAGCACUUUCAGUGAGGAAGAACGCCUGGUGGUUAAUACCCAUCAGGAAAGACAUCACUCACAG